rnacentral:rRNA from 1 species
GUGAAGCUGGGGGCAGCGGCGGGGUGAAUACCGGGGGUCCAAGCGUGUGUAGGAGUUACUGGGCGGAAAGGGUGCGUAGGUGGUCGGGUAAGGUGGAUGUGAAAUCUCUGGGCUCAACCCAGAAAUGACAUUGGAUACUAUCUGGCUAGAGGAGUGGAGGGGGAACUGGAAUACUUGGUGUAGCAGUGAAAUGCGUAGAUAUCAAGUGGAACACCAGUGGCGAAGGCGAGUUCCUGGACACUUCCUGACACUGAGGCACGAAAGCUAGGGGAGCAAACAGGAUUUGAUACCCGUGUAGUC